CACAAAAAUAAUUGGACAAUGUUCAGCAACAGAUUGUGGUGCACAUUGUAACUCAUUUGCAAGAGGUGUUCGAACAUUAGGAUGGUCAUGUUCUUUCUUCAACUUAUGCACUUGUACUUUUGAUCAGCCUCCUCCUGGAUUAACACAACCUGCUUGCGAGGUUGGUUUGGGAAUAUGCACUCGUGAAUGUGGUCAAGCUUGUUGUAACGCUAAGUGUGUUAGCCAUUUUCCUCAUACAGGUGUUGGUACUUGUAUUGAUGCAUUUAAUAUGAUUCUUUGUCUUUGUUCCUAUCAACGUUGACCUUAUUCUUUAAUUAAAUAAAAUAAAUAAGGUCAUGCGGAUGAUUAUCUAAUCACCAUUUUAUAUUAGUAAAAAUUGAUAUAUAAAUAUAAUAUUAUAAUGUUACUCUUCAACAGAGAUAGAUUGAUACUCUUUUUAUUAUAAUAUUUAUUGAUGUUUGAAAAAAAAAAGCAGAAAUAUAAGAAAUUACUAUUUGAAUUAAAUACAAAUUUGAAUUUAUUUGUUUUUAAUAUUUUUCUCUUUGUAUUGAUACGAGUCAUUUAUUAUAGAUUAAAAUUUCUUAGACACUUUUGUUGGUAUAGUAAUCAAUGUAAUCCUCCAAGUUCAUUUUUCAGCACCUCAGUCUUAUCGAAGAUGUAGGUGAUCCUUCCACCGUGCCUUUUUGUCAUCCAAUAGGUCAUAUUUUUCAGUCAUUGUUGCUCACAUCUUAAUGUAUUACAUCACCUAAAACAUAUCAAGUAUCGAUACAAAUACAAAUUAGUGCUAAAUUUUUCAGAGACAAAGAAGAGUGCGUAUGUGUGUUUGACUAAAUAAUUCGUUUCCUUUAUGUUCAUGUCAAAUAUAGAAAACAAAUUAUUUCAUUCAUCAAGCUAAAUAUACAAUUAUAGCGUAUCAUUCCUUAUUAAUUUGUUGAUACUGCAAAUGAUGUGUAUAAGAUAAUAGUUAAGAAUUAAUUUUGAAUAUAUAUAUAUAUAUAUAUAUAUAUAAGUACAAAGUUUCUGCCAUUAUUUAACUGUGAUUAAUCUCUAUCAGAAACUACGUGGAAACACAAUGUGAGUUCUUCUCUUCCAAUCAAAUUUUCUUGAUAUGCAGGAGUUAGAGAUUGAGCUCCUUGACCAAUUGUUUAAGGGGACGAAGUCCCUUACCACUUACACCAACUCAUUGUUAGUAACUAUAUUAUUUGUUUUUUAGUUUCUCAUAGGUUCCCUCUACUAGAUAUAAUCAUAUUCGAGGUGUGAUGGACACUAGACAUAGUUCACCUAGUGAGAAUUUGAAUUCCUAUAUAUUUCUUUUUUAUUUAUUUAAUAAAAUGAAUAUAAAAUAUUACAAGAAAAUAUAAAAGCUAAUGUAAAGUUAAACUACUUUAUCACAAUAUCAGUCAGGUAUGAAGGUAAAGUUUCAUUUUUCUUGAUGAUGUCAAACCUAGCUUCAGGUAGUGGUUUGGUGAAUAUGUCGAUCUAUUGGUGUUCAGUGUCUACAAAUUGAAUGUUUAGUACUCUUUUUUGAACAAAGUCCCUAAUGAAGUGGUGUUUGAUCUCUAUGUGUUUAGCUAAAGAAUGUUGGAUAGGGUUUUUGGUUAGACAAAUGGCAAAAAUGUCAUCACAAUAGAUGAGAAUGUUGGUUUUUAGGAUUUGGUAGUCUUCUAGUUAAUGUUUCAUCUAAAGUAGUUGAGAACUGCAGCCAACUGCUGAAAUGUACUCAACAUGUGUUGUUGACAUGACAAUGGUGUUUUGUCUCUUGCUUGACCAAGAUAUUAAGUAGUCAGCUAGAAAAAUGCAGUUGCCACUUGUACUCUUUCUCUCAAGUUUAUCUCAAGCAUAAUCAGAAUCACAAUAUCCACUUAGUUUGUACUUAGGAGAUUUCUUGUAGAAUAAAGUAAGAUUGGUAGUGCCUUUUAGGUAUUUAAGGAUUCUCUUAACAACGGUUAAAUGUGAUUUCCUAGAGUCAACUUGAAAUCUUGCACAUACACAAACACUAAACAUGAUGUCAGUUCUGGAAGCGGUAAGAUAAAGUAGGGAUCCUAUCAGUCCUCAAUAGGUUUUUUGGUCAACUUUUUAGCUUGAAUCAUCAUUUUCAAGUGAUCAAGUUGGGUGCACUGGUGUAACCAUAGGUUUGAAAUCACUCAUCUUAAACUUCUUGAGAAGCUCUUUUGUAUAUUUAGUUUGAUGAAUGUAUAUACCCUUUUGAUACUGCUAAAUUUGUAUCCAUAAGAAUAACUUAAGUUCUCCCAUCAUACUCAUUUGAAAUUCAUGCUACAUUAAUUUAAAAAAUGCUUGGCAAAGAGUGCCAUUAGUAGAUCCAAAAAUAAUGUCAUCAACAUAAAUUUGAAUAAUAAGAAUGUCUUCUUUUAUUGAUUUUCUAAAAAGUGUAUUAUCCACUUGUCCUAUUUGAAAAUUACUUUUAAGCAAGAAGUUACUAAGUCUAUCAUAUCACGCCCUAGGUUUUUGUUUUAGACCAUGCAGGAAUUUCCUAAGUUUAAAAACAUGAUUUGAAAAUUCAGAACUUUCAAAACUUGGGGGUUGUUUAACAUAGACUUCUUCACUUAUAUAACUGAUGACUCUUUAUCAUAAACAUAUUUUUCAUUGUUUCUAGUCUUAGCUAUCUUUUAUUCAUUAGUUAAUUUAAGGAGUUAUUUGAUAUAUUUUUUUUUUAUUUUAGUUAUUUGAUUUAAUAAAAUAUUUAUGUUCUUAUUUCCUUGAUUUAUUAGAGAUUUUUUCGUAAUUUUGUGUUGUUACUUUGUUUUAGUGCAGUGUUGAAUUUUGGUGAUAAAUCAACAUGAUCUAUGUGGAAUAUUUCAGUCAUAUAUGGAGUUGUAGAUGUCUAAUAGGAGUCAAACCAAGUGCAAAUGAAAGUCAAGCUUCAUAAUUACAACUUUCAUGAAGACACCGGAACCAAAUUCAUAAUCAAAAAAGGAGUAAAUUUCACUAAACGCCAAAAAGAAGAUGAUGUGCACUUGAAGCGCGUCCGAGGCACAUUUCCAUAAUACUUUCGCAUCCUGAUUUUGUGCAGGUGCGCUUGAGGUGCGCCUGAGGCGCGCGAAGUGAUUCAAAACAUAUUAAAACACAUUUUUCUCACUUUUUAGGGAUCUUUUUUACUAUUGGGAAGUUUGGAGAAUUGUGCCCUAGCAGAUAAACACAAAGACGAUCGUUUCUAACACCAUUGGAGCAAUUUUAUCAAGAAUCAUUCAUGAAUCUUUCUUGUAAUUCUUCUCUAAUCUCUAUCUUUUCUAUCUCUGUCAUGAGUAACUAAACCUUAUUUGUUAGGGAUGAGUGUAACAAGAUGAAACCAUUAUUUUUCUGAUUUGAUUUCUAGUUAUAUGAAUGAACUUAUUGAAUUAUUUUUCUCAUCUCUGUGCUUAAUACUUUUUAUUGUUUAAUCAACUUUAAAAUGUUCUACGAUUCAUAUUUUGAAACGGGAGUGGACUUUAUGAAUGCUUGAGAUGAGAAAUUCAUGAUAUUGUAGUAUAUGGAUAGAUGCAGGUCAUGAAACCAAUUAAAUUAGUUGCAAAGGCAGUAGUUUAACAAGAAAAUUCAUGUACGGUAAGGCUUAAUUCUAAUCUUAAAUCCACUAAGGAAUUAGCGGUUACUUUGAAAUUAAAUGUUUUGUUACUAAGACAUUAGCACAAGAAUAAUAAAGAGAAUUUGGUAAUAAUUCAAUAAAGGGAUUCAGUAACUAGGAUCAAAUUAGACACCAAGGUUGGAUUCAAAAUGAUACUCAUCCCUGACAUUUUUCUUAUAAUAAAGGAUCAAUUUUAUUAUUGUUGUUAAUUUCAAAUAUUAUUUUAAUCAAUUCAGAAACUUUUUGUUCAAUUUUAGUAAUUAAAUACAACUCGGGAGUAAAACACAAUCCUUGAGUUCGACAUUCGUUAAUAUCGUUUUAUUAUUACUUACAACGAUUCAGUACACUUGUUGAAACGCUAUCAAUAACCAUUUAGAAUAGUACUUUUAAUAUCCUUUUAAAAUAAUGUAGUGUUAUUAUUUGCAGCAAAAGAAGGAUACAAAUACCUUCUAACCUGACCGCUGGAGCAAAUGUCUUAGUGUAGUCAAUGUCCUCAUGCUAACUGUAGUCUUGUGCGAUAAGUUUUGUCUUGUUUCUGACCAGUUCACCUUUUUCAUUUAGGGUUUAGGGUUUAGGUCUAGGUACUAGAUCCCAAACAUCAUUCCUCUCAAAUUCAUUUAACUCUUCUUGCAUUGCAAGAAUCCAUCCAUUAUCUGUCAAUGCUUCACCAAUACAGGUAGAAUCAAUUGAUGAGAGUAAGCCAAACAAACAGGUAUCUUUAAGUGAUGAUUUGGUCUUCAAAUGAUUAUUUGCACAUCCAAUGAUUAGAGUUUCAAGAUGAGACAACUGGUAUUCCAUCCAAAUCUUUCUUUUGACUAUUUCUGACUUGAUAAUUUUCAUCCUUUGAAGAUUUGUCAUAUUCUUCUAAUUUACUUGUAUCCUCUGAUUUUUCAAGUUCUUCUAGUUUAUUUGCAUUUGUUUCCUUUGGUUUCUGUAAACCUGCACUAUCAUCAUCUUUCUUUGACUUUUAUAUGUCAAGUUGUUUGUUAUCAAAUUUAACAUGUACGGAUUCUUCCACAAUAUGAGUUUCCUUAUUAACCACUCUAUAAGCCUUGGAUCUUUCAGAGUAUCAAAUGAAGAUACACUUUUGAGAUCUAGAAUCAAAUUUACCAAGGUUAUCUUUAGUGUUCAACUUAUAACAAGUUAAAUCAAAUUGUUUAAAAUAAGAGAUGUUAGAUUUUUUACAUUUCCAUAAUUCAUAUGGUGUUUUAUUCAAUAUAGAUCUAAUAUAGACUCUAUUUUGAAUAUAACAUGCAGUAUUAAUUGCUUCAGCCCAAAAGUGUUUUGCAACAUUCAUAUAAUUUAACAUGGUUCUGGCCAUUUCUUGGAGUGAUAUAUUAUUACUUUCUACAACUCCAUUUUGUUGGGGUGUUCUAGGAGAGGAGAAGUUGUGAGAAAUUUCAUUCUCAUCACAUAAACUUUCAAAGAACUUGUAUUCAAAUUCUCUUCCAUGAUUUCUUCUAAUUGUUACAAUCUUAAGAUAUUUUUCAUUCAUUAUUCGUUUGCAAAAUGUGAUACACACUUUGUGGGAUUCAUCCUUACUUCUUAAAAAAAAUUACGCAUGUCCACUUAGUGUAAUCAUCUAUUAUAACAAAGUCAUAUUUCUUUCUACUUAGAGAGGCUAUUUUCAUUGGCCCAAAGAGAUCUAUAUGCUCAAUGGGCUUUGAGGUAGAGACUGCGUUCUUAGGGGUAAAUGAGUUUUUAUGUUUCUUUUUCUUUUUGACAAGUUUCACACAUAAUUUUAGUUUUGUAACUAAGUUCAGGUAGACCUCUAACUAGUUGAAGUUUAUUCAAUUUUAAAAUUAAUCUAAGGUUUGCAUGACCUAAUCUUUUGUGCCUAAUUAGUUUCUCUUCAUUUACUGACAUAAGACACUUAACGUCUUGUUUCUCUAGACUAAUCAGAUUUAUCUUAGUUGAAGUUUAUAACUCUCUAACUUAUAAAAUGAUGUUUUUCUCUAAUUAGUUGCAACAAGCACAAGGAUAAAGCAGAAGCAAGGGAGUGCAACAACAGAAGCAAGGCAACAUAAGUUGGCUUGUUUAAAAUUGUAAUUUGUUUUGACUUAAUCCUUAAAAUUGUAAUUUGAUUUGGCUUAAUGUUUAAACUGUAAUUUGAAAUUGCAAUUUGAUUAGACAAAAUGAACCUACUUAUUACAAUUAACUGUAUUAUUUUUAUUUCUAUUUUAUACAUUUUUUAUUAAUAAUUAUGAAUACAUAAAUAUAUACAUCUUUAUAUAUUUAUUUUUUAAGUUUUCAAAUAAAGAAAAAUAAAAUAAUAACAAACAAAAAUUAUCAUAAAAUAAAUAUUAUUACUUUUUAAAUUAUUUUUAAUAAAUCAAACAAAAUUAAAAUACUACAAUGCUUUGUUGUAAUAUAUUAAUUUUUACUAAAAUAGUGAUUAGUAUAACCAUCACUUUAUUUCAAUUAAGAAUAAGGUCAACGGUUAUAGUAACAUAUGCAAAGAUUCUUAUUAACUGCCUGAACACAAUGGCCAACGCCUGUAUCAGGAUAUUUAGCAAAACACUUAAGGUUGCAACAACCAUUAUCACAGUCAUGACCACAUAGUCCCAUCCCAACUUCGCAGGUAGGUUGUUUUGUGACUAUAGGUCGAUCAAAAGUACAAGUGCAUAUCUCGAAGAAAGAGCAUGACCAUCCUAAUACACGAACACCUCUUACAUAGUUAUUACACUGCGAAGCACAAUCUUCUUCAUCUGAACAUUUUCCAAUCAUUUUUGUGCAAGAAAUAUCUGCUCCUUCUAUUAAUUGCACUAUAUAUGCUCAAAACGAAAAAACAACAAAAAUUAGUGACACCUGUUUUUAUAUUUAUUUCUAAAAACAUUAUUACUUUUAAGAGCGUUUGUUACAUAUUAUGCAAAAAAUUAUUUUAAAAAGUUAAUAAUUUAGAGAUUGUUUAUUAUAAAUUUUUUUAGAAAAAGUUUAGUUGUUGUGUGUUUGUUAUUUGUUAAUUGUAAUAAAAAUCACAUUUUUUUAAAAUAUUAGUUAUAAUUUUUUUUUUUAAUAAUAAAAACUACUCAAGACAACUUUUAAUUUAAAGUAGUUUGUAGGAUUUUGAUUUUUUUUAGAAGUUGUAAUAAACGGAUAAAAACUUCUAAAAAUUAUUAUUUUAAAAAAUAUCAAUUUUAGGGGAAACAAAAUUGGUAACAAAUAGUCUCUUUAUCUAUUUGGUACAUCUUUUGAAAAAAUAAAAAUAUAUAAAAAAUAUAAAAACUAUUUCAAAUAAGAAAUUGUUUUGAGUAGCUUCUCAGUAGGAUUAUUUUUUAAAAUGGAUUAUUUUAUAGAAAUGGUGAUAUUCAUUAUUGUAGACAAAUAUAAAACAACUUUUACGUUUUUUAAAAAAACCUCUAAUAAAUAAUUUCAAAAUUAUAGAAUACUAAAAUCAUUAUUUUUAUAAUUAUCCUUAACAAACAGAACAUUAAUCUUAUGUAUAAAAUAAAAUAGAACAUUAACCUUCUGUAGAAAAAAAAACAGGACAUUAAUCUUUAUUAUAAUUUAAUAAUUAAUUAAUAAAACCCAUGACAAUAGUGGACAGGCUUACCUUUAACAACUAAAACAAAAAUGGCUAAGAAAUAGAUACAUUUUGGCAUUUGGUUUGCCAUUAAGUAAUUCUUCGCAAGUUUAUUUUGGUUUGUUAUGUGAAUGUGGUAGUGGUAGUGGUGUAUUUAUAAGUCAUUGAGAUAAUUAGGUCAAAGGUUAAAGGCACCCCAAAAUUAGUAUUAUAUUUAUUAUGUGUAUAAGUAAUUGAAAUAAGGUCAAAGCACCCACAAUUUAAUAUUAUAUUUAUUAUGUUUAUUUAUUAUUUCAAUAUUGUAUUAUAACGUUUUUUUUUAUUUCGUUAAAUUUUUUAUUUUACUUUCUUUUUAAUAUCAUUGAAUUUUUUAUUUUACUUUUUUUUAUAUGACUAAAAUGUAUUUUGAACAUACAUGUAAGUGAGUAUUUGUUAACUCUAUGAGUAAUUAUGUAAUGAGUUAUUCUAUUUAAUAAUUUAAUUUAAAUAAUAAAUUUUACUAAUUCAACUGUUGAUUAUUGAUAUCAUAUUUUAAUGAUUAAGCACACAAACUUUUAUAUAAAUUUAAAAUACGCAACUAUGCAAUAAACAUUUAAAAUAUAUGCAUAAAUACACAAAGUUUUUAAAAUAAUUUCAAAUAAAGAUAUAAUAACGUUUAAAAAAUAUAUGUAAAUAUCAAUUGUUAGAUUACAUAGUUAUGCAUUUUAAGUGUAUAUAAAAUUUUGUGUGCUUAAUCAUUAAAAUAUCAUGUCAAAUAUUUAUUUAAUUAAUAAAAAAAAGUUUCUCACUUUAAUUUAAAUAUUUUUAAAGGCACACACCCAUAUAUAUAUAAAAUAUUAGUUAUUAAUUUUCAGUCAAAAAACAAUUAAUAAAGGAAUAUGAAUUUAUAAGUGAUGUAUAAGAAAACAAAAUAAUACAAAUGUUAUUAAAUGUAUAGUGUAACGCCCCAAGUUUCUUUUUUGUAUAUUUUAGUAUUGUAGUAAAAUUAUUAUUAUGUGCGAUAAUUUUCUUCGUGUUUACGUUUACGUGCUUCCCUUGGUAAUUAAUUUAAGUUGUUAAUUAUUAAUAAUAUGAAUCAUUCUAUUUCAAAUUAAUUAUGCUAUAGAAUGAAUUUAUCAUGCUUUUCUUAUAACCGAAAAUUUAGUUUGUAAAAGUAGAGCAACAAUAUCAUGCUAAUAAUAAAUGAAUAAUUUUUAUUUUAAGAUCUAAUUCAACUGAUAAAUAUUAUUAAGUUGAAUAUUUUGAUCAGAUUUAAAUUUAUAUAUAGUCAAUUAUGUGAAUUAAUUACUGUAGAUUUUAUCAAAUCUUCUGAGAAAAAAAUAAUGAAAAUGCAAAGUUAUUUUAUUAUGUUCUAAUAGUAGACAAGGUAAUACUAAAAACAGAAUUAUUUCAUAUUGAAUUUAAUUAAUACAACUAAAUGAAUAAUAUUAGAUUUUUAUAGAAUACGAUGUUCUGGACGUUCUUUAUUGAUUUGUUUUCAAUUUUUUAGAUGAAUGGUGUGGAAUGAUAUAUAUAUAUAUAUAUAUGAGAAUUUUGAUAAAUAUUGUGUAAAUUAUAAUACGAGUUGUUGAAUUAUAAUCACAUCCAUAUGAACUAAAUGUUGGUGUUUUUGAAGUGAAAAUUAUUUCAUUAUUAUAUAAGUAAGGUCUCACAAACAUAUUAAUUUUAGAAGAAAAAAACAACCCGAGAAUUCGUAAGUGGAUUAAUGAGUUAUUACUUAAAGACAUGAUAAAUUUGAAUUGUUCGUCCGUUCGUGUAGUGAAAUAAUAUCAAAUCUCUUAGUUCCACUCUUAUAGGUGACUCUGGGUAUGAAAUAUAUAAAUUUUAUUUUAUUCAUUUAAUUAGAAACUAUUUUUUGUAAGAAACUUUAUUAAUACUAAUAAUUUUUAGAAUUAAAUUAAUAAAUUAUAAUUAAAUCCAAUUUAUGAAUAAUACAUGAUAUAUUUGAUAAAUAAAGUUUGAAUUCUUCUAUAUAUAGCUUGAAAAAUAUGAUAUUUUAUAUUACUUGUAAGAGUUUUUAUUUCUUUAGUUAAAAAAUUUAUUUAUCUGUUGCGAAUUUUUUAUUUGAAUAAUUUGUUAUUAUUCGUUCAAAUCAAAAUUUAUAGAAUUGGAAAAAAUGAUUCUCUAUCAGAUGAUAUAUACAUGUUGAAGGACACGUCUAAGAUUAGCCUUGAAGAGUAUUUUCUCAAUUUGACACCUAUGAUUGCAAAAUUUAAAGAUUGCUCUGUAAAUCGUACUACUCCUAUACUACUAAUGUAUAUAUUGUAUUUGCUUUUUGAUUUAUUACUGGCAAUUUUGUUUUUAUUGUUUUAACUUAUUUCAUUUCAAUCCAAUGCUUUUAUUCACGAUAUUGUUUUAGAUUUUAUUGUUAAAAUUACUUCUCAUAACUAUAUUUUUAUCCUUUGUAUGAUUGAAUAAAUAAAAUCAAUAAAAAUAUAGUUUUUUUAUUGUGUAUCAUUAUAACACCAUAUAAUUUUGUAACUUUUAAACAAAAUAUUUUUUAGGAAAUUUAAAUGGAAAUUUUGUUAAUAGGUAAAAAAAAGCGCAAAAUGGUAUUCCAGGGAUUAUAAUAAAUUGCCAUAGAAAAGGAACCAUAAUAACUUUCUAAGACCAAUAAUAUAUUCCAUAAUAUUUUGCUAGAAUACAUUUCAUCAAACAAAUUCAAACUCAUAUGGUUAAGAUUUCAAAUUUUACAAUAUAGGGAAUUAAAAGCGUUAUUCAAAAAAAUCAUCAAAAUUUUCAAACAAAACCCAUAAAAUUCAUUAUCAUCUUCAAUAAAAUACAAAUUUAAUCAAAUUCAUAACUUAAAUAUUGAAAUAAACUCAUAUUUUCAUUAUUUAUUUGAUGUUGUUGGAGAUAAAAAUAUGAGUGUAUUUGAAUAUUUGAGUUACGGGUUUGAUAAAAUUUGCAUUAUAUUGAAGAUGAUUAUUAAAUUUAUGAGUUUUGGUUGAAAAUUUUGAUAAUUUUUUUGAAUUUUUGUAUAAAAAAGAAUAACAUUGUUGAAAUUUUAAAACAUAAAAUAUCAAAUUGUCACUUAAAAUUAAAAUAAAGGACCAACUCGGAAAAAAAAAAAAGAUAAAGGACUAAAACGUUACUGAAAUUAAAUUAAGAUACCACAGAUGUAAUUUAGCCUAAUAAUUAAUACAAACAUCUAACAUGCAUUGUAACAACCUUUUUAGACUACACAAAUAUAUUUUUUACUCUGCCUCUUAAUCCUACAGUAUUGGUCUAACCGCUCAUCAGGCUACCACUAGACUACUUUUAGUCUUCCCAACAAUUCUAACAUUAUGCGUUGUUGAAAAACAUAUUUCUUUAAACAAAGGUUGAUACUACUACAAGGUGAGAUUAUAUAUGUUUGAGUUUGUGCUAGACAUGAACACAAGAUCUUCCUAGGAUCAUAAGUCUCAUAGCGAGGAUAUCACAAUAUUAAUCCUAUAUCAAUUCAAGUAUAAUAAUUUAAUUAAUAGUUCAUAUGAUUGUGUGUCCUUUGUUGAUUUACAAUAAGAUCUAGUGAUUCUCAAUAAAUAUGAUAUUUCUAAUUCAUAUAACUUGUUCAAUGCUUUUUCUUCUAUGUACUAUUUUGAUAUUAAACAUGUCUUUUCUUUUUCUUUCAUUUCUCUUUUAAGCAAACUACUUUUAUAUGUUCAAAUCAUCACAAUUUGUGAUUCAUUUACAUUUCCAAUUUUUAGUAGUUAUCUUAUCACAAAGUACAUUUAGUCAUUUUGAACACUUACUUUUCAUUGUCAAACAUUGACGAUUAUCUAGAUUUCAUCGGCUUCAUUAGUUUCAAAUGAAGUUCUUUAUGUAGCAUUGUUGAGAAUAUAGCUAUUGAGAAAAGAAUAAUUGCGACAAUAUAUAAGUAUUUGUUUCUUAUGAUUGCAUUAUACUAGAGAGAUUCUUGAGGAUCAAUAACCAUUGUCUCUAUUCUUGGCUUUGAACCAAAGACCGAGUUUUAUCUUAAGAUAUGUCGUUCUAGAGGAAAUUGAUUGUGGUAGUAGAUGAUUGUAGUACAAGAUUAUCCAAAUACUAUUUGUUAGAGGCAUUACAUGUAUUGGAUUAAGUUUCCAUUUCUUUGGUUUUUAUCAUAAGUUUCUCUAGUUUCCAGACUCAGUAUUAAUACAGGCUAUUUGUAUUUUCAAUAUAUCUUGUGUUUCAUUUGUUUAACUACACAAUGACUCACUAGAGGUUGUUGAUGACUCAAUUAUAUCUUAGGUAAUGUCGUUCUAGAGGAAAUUGAUUGUUGUAGUAGAUAAUCAUUGUUCAAGAUUAUCCAAAUACUAUUUGCUAGAGGCAUUACAUGUAUUAGAUGAUGUUUCUAUUUCUUUGGUGUUUAUGUUUAUCUUGUUUUUAGACUCAGAGUAUUGAUAUAAACUAUUUAUAUUUUCACCAUAUCUUGUAUUUCAUUUGUUUAACCAGAUGAAUACUCACUGGAGGAUGUUGAUGAUACUUAUGUUGAUGAUACUAUUCGUAAGUUAUAAGUUAUCUCAUAAUUAAUAACCAUAAUUAAUUGUUCGUUAUUUAAUAAUUAUAUAUUUCUUCUAAUUAACAACACAUGGAUAAUUAUUACUAAGUCAUAAAUAUUAUAUUACUAAUGUAAAUAGUUAAUAACUUAGAUUCCCAUUUAACUCUAGAUAAACUACACACUUAAAUCAACUAGUUAGCAUAAAUUUUUUUAUCUUGUCUUGUAAUAAUCAAAACAUCAAUCGUAAGUAUUUGUAUUUGAACCAAUAUGUUCUUACAACAACUACAUAUUUCCUCAAAUCAAUUUAAUCAAAAUUUAUGAUAAUACUUACAUCAAAUCUAUAAAAUCAAGAUCACAUAUGCACUUAUUAUUCAAUACAAUCAUAACAACACACAUAGACAUGUAUAUAGAUAUACACAUAAAUUCUCUCAACAACACAACUCAAAUCACAACUCAAAUCAAUACUACAUAGCUCGAACAAUGAAUCAUAUCAACCUAUUAUUGUAGCCAAUAAUAUUUUAACACCUACAAUAUAUGAGUUUCAUAUAUUAACCAACUAUUUACUAAAAGGGCUAAAAUCGUAGUAUGCCUCAAACAAAAUUGGAAAAUGUGACAUUCCUAUUCAACCAACACAAGAUUUCACCCAUGACACGAUCACAAAUCUCACCCCUUUCCAUAUAUUUACUAAUGAAGUUUACUCAAUAAUGAAGGUUUGGGUCUUACGUAUUUAUCUUCCCUCAUUAUAAUCGAAGAAAUCUGAUCAUUUGAAGUUGCAUAGAAGAUUUACAAUGACUUGGUAAUGACACUAGAGGUUGAGAAUUAAAGAAAAGGUGAAGUCUUGGAAGGUUUGAAGAAGAGGGUUCUUGGAGGCUAGGUUUUGGCUCCAAUUUUUGUGUAGGGUUUAUGAAAAUAUGAUAAAAAUUAUGAUUAAAAACCUUAAAUAGUGAGACUAGUUUUAAUUUUGUUGCACAACAAGCAUGUCAUGUCCCAAUGUGUUGCAAGUUCUCUCGUGUUGUCAACCGAUUGUUUUGCGUUGCGAACAAAGUUCAACGCAAAAUUGGACAUAAUGGUUAUUGUUUACUAAACACUCUUCUCGUCGGCCGACCAUAGCAUUCUUUGUAAUAAAAUAAUCAUAAAAACUCUAAAACUUCGUUUAUAUCAUUCUAAAGAGCUUUUACAUUUAUCUAUGAUAUCAUUUACUCAAACUUUUGACCCAAGACAUCAAAAGUAAGUAGUAACAUAACACAACACAUAACAAUGCAUUAGGACAAAGUGAGCCGUUAAAGAGUCUUUCUCGGUUAUGCCCCUUAGGGAAACCUUAGUUUGUGGUGGACGUCGUAACAUGAUUCUCAUUGAAUCAGUGACUACACAAGAAUAGGGAUUUAUCUUGUUGACAUGAAUUAUUUUAGCUAGGAAGAAAAAUAAACUUAGUCUUAGUAACAUUUCACGUAACCUGAAACGAAUAACACAUAUGCAUAAGAAAGACUUUGAUAAACUUACAAAUGUCUAUGAAACAAUGUAAUUGUUUCCAUCUAACUGUAGUAGUUUGUUAGCUUUGGUUUGUUUUGUGUAUGAGGAAUAGGUUGAACUUGCAAAGUUUCUACUAUGUAGGCCCCAAUGACAAUAUGUAUCACAAUACAAUAAGGUCCCUCCUAGUUCAGAGCAAGUUUUCCUUAAUUAGUCUUUUUUGACCGACAAUAACUCUUUAAAAGGAUGUGAUCUCCUUACAUAAACACUCUUGGAAUGACUCUGUUAUUGUAUUGUGCAAUAAUUUGAUGCUUGAUUGCAACAUCAUUGAGUGCUACUAUAUUUUUAUUUCCUUUUAAAUGAAGUUGAGCUCUACAUAUAGAAGGUGAGUUAUUUCCUUCUCAAUAUUGAGGGUGCGAAGUUCUCCAACCAUGUUCUCCAAUCUCGAUAAGGAAAACUGAUUUCAUCUCAAAAGAGAGACUAAAACUAUAUUAUCCCAUUUUAUAGUGGGGAGUCGUCCGAUAAGCCCACUAUACUUGAUGGAGUUACUCGGCCCAAUUCCUUUUUGUCGUAUCUAACUUUCUCUUCGAUCCUCAGAUAAUUAAUCUCUUAUCCUCUUCUACUUAUUCGUUCGUUUGUGGGUGUUCGACUAAAGUGAAAUGUUGUUUGAUCUACAUGUAUUUGAAAAAAAAAUUAAUUGCUUUGUUGGUUAAUUGGUUUUCGUUGUCAAUUAUUAUGACUUAAGGAAUUCUGAAUAAGGUCAUGUGCCUUCUACAAAAUAUGAGAACGUUGUCAAUUAUUAUGACUUAAGGAAUUAUGAAUCGGGCCAUAGGUUUUGUUUCAAUCUACUUAUUGAAGUAUUCAACGACGGAGAUUAAAUAUAUCAAUUGUCUUUGAAGGUGUAAGUAAUGUUUCGAAGAGGUCCACUCUCCACCAUACGAAAUGUGUCAACUGAGUCAAACGAGUUGUUGCUAAGGACUUCAUAAAAAACCUAAUAAUAAAAAUCAACCUUCAUAUUAAUAUCAUUAUUUGUAGAAUCAAGAUUCUCAUUUAAAUCGUUACAAAUGAAGCCCACAAAAGAAUAAGUAUCACAAUACUCCUUUGUUUUUUAUAUUAUGUUCUUUAUAACAUUAGUUUCCUCUUUCUGUCUCUAUUAUUUUUUAAAACAUGUGCAAAAGAAUUGUGCUUUUCUAUUAAUGUCAAAUAUUUUUCAGUGACAUUAUAAUGAUUAUGAUUGACAUUGUACUAGAGAGUUAUAUAUUAUUGAUACAAAAUUUCAUUAAUUGUGAUCAACAGUAAAUGUCUCCCCUAUUUUUAACUUUUUGCCACUUUUUUUCCCUCUCUCUUUUUAUUUUUGCGUUAUAUGUCCCUAACUGUUUUCCUUUUCUUUUUUAUAAAUUUUUAGCUUGAAAAAUAAAAAUAUAAAAAAUGUCUACAAAAGAAUAGUGACAAAUAUUUUUUAAUUUUUUAAAUUUAAAUUCUUUUUUAGAUUAUUAUUAAUAAUUGUGACAUUAAUAACUAUUUUUCAAUUAUCUUGGAGAAAUUUAAUCUGUCUUUUGAGAUAAGAAAAUUAUUAAAUUCUCACCACUGAUAUUUAUUGAAGAACCAUAGAAAUUAUAAAUUUUUAGAAAUCGAGAAAUAUUAGUAAUAGAUAUUAAAUAUUUGAUUUUUUUCUCAAUACUAUUCAAUAUUUAUUAACUCACGAAUCGAAUUAUUUAUGUAGAACAAGUGUUUAGUAAAGUCACUUAAUCAACUAAUUUAAAAAUAUAAAAUAACAUAUAAAUUAAUCUUUAUUAAUAAUAAACUUAUGCCAAGUAACGUUUAAAAUAUUUUCACUUUAAUAAUUUAAAAUUUAUUAAUCUUUUGUUUUAUUUAUUUAUUAUUAAAUUAAUUUUUAUUUUCUGUUUCAAAAAAAUCACUGAUUAUUUAUUUAUUUAUACAUUAAAUAGUAAAAACAUUCGCAAACAACAUCGAUGUUCAGGAUUUUAACUCAACAUGGUAUCUAAUCUAAUAAUAUUGUCAUUUGUGAGUUGAUUUAACCAUUAUAGAUAACUUAUUUUCAAAUAUAUUCAACACAUAUAUUAAUUCUAGUAACUUUAACAAUAUAGUUAAUAAAAAAAAUAGAUAUACAACAAUAAAUAUAUAAUAGAAUAUUAUAAUUAAAAUAAAAUUAAUAUAAUAUUAACUGUAAUUGUAUUAAUAUAAAAUAAUGAUUAAAAUAAAUCUAUCACCUCAUAUAUAUUUUAUUUAUUUUAAGUUAUAAUAAACAAAACCUAAAGCGUAAAAUGAGAUUUUAGUUAAAAUUAUAAAGAUAAAUUAAAAUAAAAAAUAAUUAACUAUAAAUUUUUGAAAGUAUCUUAUAAAAAUAACUAUAUAAAUUAUUGUAUUUCAUUAGAGAUCGUAAGGACAAAAACUAAAUUUUUUGAAUAUUGCAGGGAUGAAAUUCAAAAAAUUAUUUUUCAGAGAUUAAAACUGAAAAUUGUUAUAUUUACAGGGACCAAAAACUACUUCUCUUUGUCAAUUAACGUUUUUGUAAUAUCCACUUAACGUUAAAGACCAAAAAUAAUUUUUUUUUGAUAUUACAGGAUGCAAAAAAAAAAUUACGAGAACCAAAAUUAAAAAAAAAAUGUUAUAUUUACAAGGACAAAAAUAUAUUUAAACAAAAAAAUUAAAAGAAAAAAUUUAGUGACAUUAAAAAAUAAAAAGUAAAAUAAAAAAUAAAAAAUUUAAUGACAUAAAAAUUACUUUAUAAUACAAUAUUGAGGAUAAUAAAUACACGUAAUAAAUAUAAUAUUAAAUUGUGGGUGCCUUUAACCUCUGACCUUAUCUCAAUGACUUAUAAAUACACCACUAUUACAUUCACAUAACAAACCAAAAUAAACUUGCGAAAUUGCUUAAUGGCAAACCAAAUGGCAAAACGUUUCUAUUUCUUUGCCAUCUUGGUUUUAGUUGUUAAAGGUAAGCCAGUCCACCAUUGUCAAUUUGUCAUAGGUUUUAUUAAUUAAUUAAUUAUUAAAUUAUAAUAAAGAUUAAUUUUUGUUGUUUGAGCAUAUAUAGUGCAGUUAAUAGAAGGUACUUGCACAAAAAUAGUGGGACGAUGUUCAGCAGCAGAUUGUGGUACACAAUGUAAAUCAUUUGCAAAAGGUGUUCGUACAGUAGCAUGGUCAUGUUCUUUCCUCAACUUAUGCACUUGUACUUUUGAUCAGCCUCCUCCUGGAUUAAUACAACCUACCUGCAAUGUUGGUUUGGGACUAUGCACUCGUGACUGUGGUCAAGCUUGUUGCAACGCUAAGUGUGUUAGCUAUUUUUUUAAUACAGGUGUUGGUAUUUGUGUUGAUGCAUUUAAUAUGAAUAUUUGUCUUUGUUCCUAUCAACGUU
rnacentral:lncRNA from 1 species